rnacentral:rRNA from 1 species
GACGAACGCUGGCGGCGUGCCUAAUACAUGCAAGUAGAACGCUGGAGGCGGAGCUUGCUUCUCUGGAUGAGUUGCGAACGGGUGAGUAACGCGUAGGUAACCUGCCUGGUAGCGGGGGAUAACUAUUGGAAACGAUAGCUAAUACCGCAUAAUAGUAGAUGUUGCAUGACAUUUGCUUAAAAGGUGCAAUUGCAUCACUACCAGAUGGACCUGCGUUGUAUUAGCUAGUUGGUGGGGUAACGGCUCACCAAGGCGACGAUACAUAGCCGACCUGAGAGGGUGAUCGGCCAGACUGGGACUGUGACACGGCCCAGACUCCUACGGGAGGCAGCAGUAGGGAUACGUCGGCAAUGGACGGAAGUCUGACCGAGAAACGCCGCGUGAGUGAAGAAGGUUGUCGGAUCGUAAAGCUCUGUUGUAAGGGAAGAACGAGUGUGAGAGUGGAAAGUUCACACUGUGACGGUAACUUACCAGAAAGAGACGGCUAACUACGUG